AGCUCGAAAGCGUAACGGUAGCGCGUCUGUUCUCUAUUGUGCAUCGGAGUAGACCUAAUGGUCGACGGAAGAUCCCGUUUCGACUCCGGGUCGAGCUA